rnacentral:lncRNA from 1 species
UGGGGGAUCAAUGAGGCAGAUGAGAAGAGCCCAACUAUCACCUUUUCCAUGCCAGAUGGCGGGCGCUAGUUUGGCUGCAGUCGUUACCCGCCUCCCUCCUCUCUUCCCUUUGUUCCCCUCACCAUCCCAAAGGACUGGGACCGUUCACUGCAGUGUCCUCCUCCCCGUCUGUCUAGCAGCCAGCCAUUCUUCUGGGUUCUCUUUCAACACGGCGGCAGCCUGCCUGUGAGUGCAGCGCCCUUCCCCACUCCCACCACUUCAGAUGCUACUGUUGCCUUUUGAAGAAGGGAGGGGACAUCCUGACACGGCUAAGAUCAGGGAGGCAGGCGUCUGGGCUCACGGUUACCCCCCUCCCCCCUCUAGCCUUCCAGAAGAUUCCCUGUUCCAGCUCUCCCACCUCACUGGAUCACCACCAUGGCAGCCGAGGCUGUUCUGCGGCCCUGCACCAAUCAGGUGGUGUUACCCUCAUAUGGGGAACCUAGAGGAUGUCGUGUAUCACAGAAAACCCACGACACUGCCAGCCCUUGGAGAAGAAAUUGAAAAUGCAGGUGCAGCAAUCUCAAUGACCAAGGUCACCCAAGCAGCAGUUCACCGUACUAAUAAAUGUCUGGAAGCUGACGGCCACCAAUGUGAGCAUCUCUCGUAAUUGUAGAGGCCAAAGGCAACUUGUGUUAAUCUCCUGAGGUCUCAAUAAAUGUAGUACUAAAAUAUUUGUACAAGUUUUUCUUUUACUGAAGUUUGUGUACGUUUUUGGGUGGACUCUCUAUAUAUGACAGAAUAUUAUUCAGCCUUAGAAAGGAGGUCUUGCCAUUUGUAAUAUGAUGGGCCUGAAUAACAUCAUGCUAUGGAAAAAACACCAGGCACAGAGAGAAAAUUAUUGCAUUAUCGAUCAUACGAGUAUAAAAUUUCAAGCUCAUGGAAGGAAAAGGUAAAAUUAUAAUUGCCAGAGUGGUGCAGGAGGAAUGUUUUCUUACCAUAAAAGUUAAAGUUAUGUAGGAUGGAUAAAUCUGGAGAUCUAAGGCACAGCAUGUGGACCACAGUUGCUAAUAUUAUAUUAUACACUGGAAAUUUCCCAAGAGAGUAGAUUUUUUGGUGUUCUUACCAUAAGAAAAGGGUAACUAUAGGUGAAUGGAUAUAUUCAUUAACUUAGAAC